UGAUGGGCGCUACGGGUUCCACAGUAGAUCCACGCCAUGCGUGGAUGGGUGUCGCGCACGCACAAAAAAACCCCGGCGCUGGGCCGGGGUUUUUCGA
rnacentral:tRNA from 1 species